AUGCUAGUUUUGACAGCACGUUUACUAACAGUAGAAUGAUAAGAAGAAGAUUAGGCUGGACCCUGAGCAAGGAUGACAAGCAAAUUCAGGAAGAGUUCCAAAUUUUU
ensembl:snRNA U6 U6 spliceosomal RNA